AAAAAGGACUUCUGUUGUGAGUGGCACAUGUAGGGCAGCUCUAUUGCUCUUCUUGCAGAACUGACAUCAAGAGAUUUCAGAAACGUAAUUUUUGGUACCUGGACAGCUGUUGAUCAUUGGUCCCUGUGCUUCCCC
ensembl:snRNA